rnacentral:rRNA from 1 species
CGAUUAAGUGCCUUGGAACAGGCUGCCGUAGAGGGUGAGAGCCCCGUGAAUCGCUGGAGACCGAUCAAUUAGUGCCCGCCGAAGAGUCGAGUUGUUUGGGAAUGCAGCUCUAAGUGGGUGGUAUAUUCCAUCUAAGGCUAAAUAUUAGCGAGAGACCGAUAGCAAACAAGUACAGUGAUGGAAAGAUGAAAAGAACUUUGGAAAGAGAGUGAAAUAGUACGUGAAAUUGUUGAAAGGGAAGGGUAUUUGAUCCGACAUGGUGUUUAGCAGCGGCCCGUUCCUCGU